rnacentral:rRNA from 1 species
GAUGAACGCUGGCGGCGUGCCUAAUACAUGCAAGUCGAACGAAACUUCUUUAUCACCGAGUGCUUGUACUCACCGAUAAAGAGUUGAGUGGCGAACGGGUGAGUAACACGUGGGCAACCUGCCCAAAAGAGGGGGAUAACACUUGGAAACAGGUGCUAAUACCGCAUAACCAUAGUUACCGCAUGGUAACUAUGUAAAAGGUGGCUAUACUACCGCUUUUGGAUGGGCCCGCGGCGCAUUAGCUAGUUGGUAGGGUAAAGGCUUACCAAGGCAAUGAUGCGUAGCCGAAUUGAGAGGUUGAUCGGCCACAUUGGGACUGAGACACGGCCCAAACUCCUACGGGAGGCAGCAGUAGGGAAUCUUCCACAAUGGGCGAAAGCCUGAUGGAGCAACGCCGCGUGGGUGAAGAAGGUCUUCGGAUCGUAAAACCCUGUUGUUAGAGAAGAAAGUGCGUGAGAGUAACUGUUCACGUUUCGACGGUAUCUAACCAGAAAGCCACGGCUAACUACGUG